AUUGAACGCUGGCGGCGUGCUUUACACAUGCAAGUCGAACGGCAGCGGGGAGGAGCUUGCUUCUCUGCCGGCGAGUGGCGAACGGGUGAGUAAUACAUCGGAACGUGUCGAGAAGAGGGGGAUAACCACCCGAAAGGGUGGCUAAUACCGCAUAAAUUCUGAGGAAGAAAGCUGGGGACCUAGGAAUAGGCCUAGCGCUUUUUGAGCGGCCGAUGUCGGAUUAGCUAGUUGGUGAGGUAAAGGCUCACCAAGGCGAAGAUCUGUAGCGGGUCUGAGAGGAUGAUCCGCCACACUGGGACUGAGACACGGCCCAGACUCCUACGGGAGGCAGCAGUGGGGAAUUUUGGACAAUGGGGGCAACCCUGAUCCAGCCAUGCCGCGUGUAUGAAGAAGGCCUUAGGGUUGUAAAGUACUUUUGUUAGGGAAGAAAAGUCAGCUGUGAAUAAUGGCUGAUACUGACGGUACCUAAAGAAUAAGCACCGGCUAACUACGUG
rnacentral:rRNA from 1 species